AUAUAUAUGUGUGUGUGUGUGUAUAUAUAUGUAUAUAUGUAUGUAUGUAUGUGUAUGUGUGUGUGUGUGUGUAUAUAUAUAUACACACACACA
rnacentral:miRNA from 1 species